AGGAAGAGUUAGAGGAUGGCGAAGAUGUUGCAACAUGCCCAAGUUGUUCUCUGAUAAUCAAAGUGAUCUACGAUCCUGAAGACUUUGCAUCAGGAGAGAAGAUUGCCGCACCUAGUAGAAGUAAUGCUGAGUUAGUUAAACACUAACACAACUGUGUCCCACUUGUUUAGUGAGGUGGGACAUUUGACAAGCCGUGGACUUCAGGGAAAGAGGCAUACAAUGGUGGAUGUUCUGUCCACAUCAAGUGAGCCAGAAGUCUGGAGAAGUCAACCCAUCCUCGAUUCCAAGAUUCCCAGAUUCCCAGAUUCCAAGAUAAUUUUAAAACAGAUAUAAGGACAUAUAGAUACAACUGUCAUUGAACGUGGGUUUUUAAUGGCAAUAGUAAAACACUUGAAAAGAGAGGUGUUAAGCCUCCCAGUAACCACAGGGCAAGAUACUGGAUUUAACACAAAUUUUGUCCCAGUCUAAGAAAAUUUGAACAACCUGUCCAGUUAAAAGCUUCUUUCACAGGCUGUGAUGAAUGCGCACAAGAUUUAAACCUCGCUAAAUUUUAUUUAUAGUAAAACUUAUGAGAUCUAAGUAGCACCUCUAUAGUAUCUGUUUUUUUAAUGCACUGUAUGUUCUUUAUAAUACUACUGGAUUUGAUUUUGUUGGUCUUAGUCUAGUCUUUUACAUUUUAAAAUAUCAAUAUUUAUAAAGGAUACAAUGGACUUUUAUCAGUUUGAAAGAUGAGGGUUUCAUACUUAUGUCUUUUGAUAGAAAUUUGACUCUUACACUGUUCUGCUGGCAGAACCGUUGAAAUUAGCAGUUUUUGUUUCUCACAAAAUCAAUUCGGUGUAUAAUGUAGAGAUCGAAUCUUGUUCUAGAAAUAGAGUGAUGUUAGAUAUACUUGA